CUUGUCUACGGGGGGCAGCAGUGAGGAAUAUUGGUCAAUGGGCGCGAGCCUGAACCAGCCGAGUAGCGUGAAGGAUGACUGCCCUACGGGUUGUAAACUUCUUUUAUAAAGGAAUAAAGUGAGGCACGUGUGCCUUUUUGUAUGUACUUUAUGAAUAAGGAUCGGCUAACUUCGUGCCAGCAGCCGCGGUAAUACGGAGGAUCCGAGCGUUAUCCGGAUUUAUUGGGUUUAAAGGGUGCGUAGAUGGGUUGUUAAGUCAGUUGUG
rnacentral:rRNA from 1 species